UCCGUAGGUGAACCUGCGGAAGGAUCAUUACUGAAGUGAGUCUUCAUUCAUUGAAGCUUCUUCCCAUUGUGCUGGCUUUGACCGUAUGUAAAGUUGGGGAUUAAACAUGGUUCAAAAUUUAUUUUGUGGCCGUCCCCAACAAUUUAUCUCAUCCUUUAUAAAUUUGAACUGAACUCAUUUUGAGAUUACUUAAAAAAAUAAUCUUAUUAUACAACUUUCAACAACGGAUCUCUUGGUUCUCGCAUCGAUGAAGAACGCAGCGAAAUGCGAUACGUAAUGUGAAUUGCAGAAUUCAGUGAAUCAUCGAAUCUUUGAACGCACAUUGCACUCUAUGGUAUUCCGUAGAGUAUGCCUGUUUCAGUAUCAUGAACACCUCACUACUAUAACUUUAUUGUUAUGAUAGUGGAUUUGGAAUGCGCUGGUGUCAGUCAGCCCUUCUAAAAUGGAGUUCUUGCACUGUUGAUUUGUUUUAACAGCAAUGUUGGCCUAAUAAGUUUCAGCAGCAAUGUUGAAAUCACUGGCUUUUUUUGCUUAGAAUCGGACAGUCUUGAUAUACAGAAUUUUUGAGGUGACUUUUGUCUCCUCUUCAAAUUUUGAUCUGAAAUCAGGUAGGAUUACCCGCUGAACUUAAGCAUAUCAAUAAGCGGAGGAAAAGAAACUAACAAGGGAUUUCCCUCAGUAACGGCGAGUGAAGCGGGAAGAGCUCAAAUUUAAAAUCUGGCUUACUUGUAAGUCCGAGUUGUAGUCUGAAGAAACGUUUUCCAUAAGCACUGAGGCACAAGUCCCUUGGAACAGGGCAUCAUAGAGGGUGAGAAUCCCGUCCAUGGUCUCAAGUUGCUUAUUUUGUGAUACGUUUUCAAAGAGUCAGGUUGUUUGGGAAUGCAGCCUAAAAUGGGUGGUAAAUUUCAUCUAAAGCUAAAUAUUGGCGAGAGACCGAUAGCGAACAAGUACCGUGAGGGAAAGAUGAAAAGAACUUUGAAAAGAGAGUUAAACAGUACGUGAAAUUGUUGAAAGGGAACCGUUUGAAGCCAGUCUUACUUGCUCGUGAUCAGUUUGUGCCUCGGCAUGAAUGCACUCUCGGGUAUGGUAGGCCAACGGCAGUUUAGAAUGCGAGAAAAAAAUUUGGGAAAUGUGGCCUUCGGGUGUUAUAGUCCCUUAUGAAAUAUCGUGUUCUGGACUGAGGAUCGCAGUAAAAAUGUGGGCAGGUAGAUUUCUGUGGUGAAUGAUUAUUAGGACAACUUGUUGACCUAGUUUUCAUAAGCCUCACUGUUUGCCUUGCUUCUAAUUUGCUUAGGUCGUUGGCAUAAUGGCUUUAAAUGACCCGUCUUGAAACACGGACCAAGGAGUCUAACAUAUAUGCGAGUAUUUGGGUGACAAACCCAUAUGCGCAAUGAAAGUGAAAUUAGGUGCCAAACCUUCACGGGUGGCAGCAUCGGCCGGCUCUGACGUUUUAACUGACGAGUCUGAGCAGAAGCAUACAUGUUGGGACCCGAAAGAUGGUGAACUAUGCCUGAAUAGGGUGAAGCCAGAGGAAACUCUGGUGGAGGCUCGUAGCGAUUCUGACGUGCAAAUCGAUCGUCAAAUUUGGG
rnacentral:misc_RNA from 1 species